rnacentral:lncRNA from 1 species
UGGAGAGAGAUGCGAAGGUCCGAGGAAUGUUGGGGAAAGCCAUUUAUACACUACAACAAAAACGGUCUAUAGCGACACUUUUAAAUGUAGGUACAUGUCAAAAAAGUGCUGCUAGCUAAAAUUACCGACACUUUUAAAAAGUGCUGCUAUAUGUGGGGUCGCUAGGUAUAUAGUGACAGUUAAAGAGUGUCGCUAUAACCUAAAAGAGUGCUGCUAAUUUACGAACACUUAUUUAAGCAUUUAGCAACCGCCAAAACUUUAUCUCAUUGGCUGCGGUGGCGGAGGAGGACGACAGGAAAGGCUCUUCGUCUAGAAUUUCAGUGGAUUGAGUAAAGAGAGAAGAAAAGAUGGCAAUUGAUUUUUCUUUUUUUUUUUCUUUUCUGUUUGUAAUCGGGCCAAAUGGACUGGGUGUGGUGGGUUGAGUAGAGUAAUCUUUUAUUUUUGGUUGGAUUUGGCUUUAUAUUUAGGCAUUAGUAGAUAUUUUUUUAAGUUUUAACAUAAAUGGGACACUUACUCAAAAGUGUCCCAAACAUGUGUCCCUAUAACCUAAUUCUGUUGUAGUGAUAGUGUAUGCUUUACAAAUGGAGUUCACCAAUUAGU